AGGAAGUCAGUCUGAUCCAGGAAGCCCAGGCUGUGUGCACAAACAAGAUCCACUACUGUGAUACUUCAGAACUACUGAAUUUGCAAUACCGUGCAGUUAUUGGAAAAAGGCUUCUUCUUAGAGAGGCAUAAAGAAAAAAAUAGAUGGGAAAAAAAUCCUUUGAACAGCACUGAAGGAUAAGAAAAACAAUUUGAUAUCGUAUGAUGAGGACACCCCUGCAAGCUGCCGUAGGCAUUGUUCAUUUUCAGGUUUUCACACAGUCUGGUAGAGCCAGAGUUUUCUCCUGUGUCAUUAUGGAGCUCAUUCCUUUCUGACUACUGUCAAAUGUAUGAAUAAAAUGAAGUGAUGAAAUAAUUCAGCUGUUGUAA